rnacentral:rRNA from 1 species
AGAGUUUGAUCCUGGCUCAGGACGAACGCUGGCGGCGUGCCUAACACAUGCAAGUCGAACGGAAGUUAGAGCUUCGGUUUUAACUUUAGUGGCGAACGGGUGAGUAACGCGUGAGGAACCUGCCUUUCAGUGGGGGACAACAGUUGGAAACGACUGCUAAUACCGCAUGAUGCUUUUGGGAGACAUCUCCUGGAAGCCAAAGCUUUAUGUGCUGAAAGAUGGCCUCGCGUCUGAUUAGCUAGUUGGUGAGGUAACGGCUCACCAAGGCGACGAUCAGUAGCCGGUCUGAGAGGAUGAACGGCCACAUUGGGACUGAGAUACGGCCCAGACUCCUACGGGAGGCAGCAGUGGGGAAUAUUGGGCAAUGGGGGAAACCCUGACCCAGCAACGCCGCGUGAAGGAAGAAGGCCUUCGGGUUGUAAACUUCUUUUACCAGGGACGAAGGACGUGACGGUACCUGGAGAAAAAGCAACGGCUAACUACGUGCCAGCAGCCGCGGUAAUACGUAGGUUGCAAGCGUUGUCCGGAUUUACUGGGUGUAAAGGGCGUGUAGGCGGAGAUGCGAGUUGGGAGUGAAAUCCAUGGGCUCAACCCAUGAACUGCUCUCAAAACUGUAUCCCUUGAGUAUCGGAGAGGCAAGCGGAAUUCCUAGUGUAGCGGUGAAAUGCGUAGAUAUUAGGAGGAACACCAGUGGCGAAGGCGGCUUGCUGGACGACAACUGACGCUGAGGCGCGAAAGCGUGGGGAGCAAACAGGAUUAGAUACCCUGGUAGUCCACGCUGUAAACGAUGAAUACUAGGUGUGGGAGGACUGACCCCUUCCGUGCCGCAGUUAACACAAUAAGUAUUCCACCUGGGGAGUACGACCGCAAGGUUGAAACUCAAAGGAAUUGACGGGGGCCCGCACAAGCAGUGGAUUAUGUGGUUUAAUUCGACGCAACGCGAAGAACCUUACCAGGAUUUGACAUCCAACUAACGAAGUAGAGAUACAUUAGGUACCCUUCGGGGGAAGUUGAGACAGGUGGUGCAUGGUUGUCGUCAGCUCGUGUCGUGAGAUGUUGGGUUAAGUCCCGCAACGAGCGCAACCCCU